GCAGUGGUGGCUCAGUGGUAGAGUUCUCGCCUUCCAUACAGGAGACCCAGGUUCAAUUCCCAGCCAGUGCA
rnacentral:tRNA from 1 species